UGCAUGUAAUCCCAGCACUUUGGGAGGCCG
rnacentral:piRNA from 1 species